rnacentral:rRNA from 1 species
GAUGAACGCUGGCGGCGUGCCUAAUACAUGCAAGUCGAGCGAACGGACGAGAAGCUUGCUUCUCUGAUGUUAGCGGCGGACGGGUGAGUAACACGUGGAUAACCUACCUAUAAGACUGGGAUAACUUCGGGAAACCGGAGCUAAUACCGGAUAAUAUUUUGAACCGCAUGGUUCAAAAGUGAAAGACGGUCUUGCUGUCACUUAUAGAUGGAUCCGCGCUGCAUUAGCUAGUUGGUACGGUAACGGCUUACCAAGGCAACGAUGCAUAGCCGACCUGAGAGGGUGAUCGGCCACACUGGAACUGAGACACGGUCCAGACUCCUACGAGAGGCAGCAGUAGAGAAUCUUCCGCAAUGGGCGAAAGCCUGACGGAGCAACGCCGCGUGAGUGAUGAAGGUCUUCGGAUCGUAAAACUCUGUUAUUAGGGAAGAACAUAUGUGUAAGUAACUGUGCACAUCUUGACGGUACCUAAUCAGAAAGCCACGGCUAACUACGUGCCAGCAGCCGCGGUAAUACGUAGGUGGCAAGCGUUAUCCGGAAUUAUUGGGCGUAAAGCGCGCGUAGGCGGUUUUUUAAGUCUGAUGUGAAAGCCCACGGCUCAACCGUGGAGGGUCAUUGGAAACUGGAAAACUUGAGUGCAGAAGAGGAAAGUGGAAUUCCAUGUGUAGCGGUGAAAUGCGCAGAGAUAUGGAGGAACACCAGUGGCGAAGGCGACUUUCUGGUCUGUAACUGACGCUGAUGUGCGAAAGCGUGGGGAUCAAACAGGAUUAGAUACCCUGGUAGUCCACGCCGUAAACGAUGAGUGCUAAGUGUUAGGGGGUUUCCGCCCCUUAGUGCUGCAGCUAACGCAUUAAGCACUCCGCCUGGGGAGUACGACCGCAAGGUUGAAACUCAAAGGAAUUGACGGGGACCCGCACAAGCGGUGGAGCAUGUGGUUUAAUUCGAAGCAACGCGAAGAACCUUACCAAAUCUUGACAUCCUUUGACAACUCUAGAGAUAGAGCCUUCCCCUUCGGGGGACAAAGUGACAGGUGGUGCAUGGUUGUCGUCAGCUCGUGUCGUGAGAUGUUGGGUUAAGUCCCGCAACGAGCGCAACCCUUAAGCUUAGUUGCCAUCAUUAAGUUGGGCACUCUAAGUUGACUGCCGGUGACAAACCGGAGGAAGGUGGGGAUGACGUCAAAUCAUCAUGCCCCUUAUGAUUUGGGCUACACACGUGCUACAAUGGACAAUACAAAGGGCAGCGAAACCGCGAGGUCAAGCAAAUCCCAUAAAGUUGUUCUCAGUUCGGAUUGUAGUCUGCAACUCGACUACAUGAAGCUGGAAUCGCUAGUAAUCGUAGAUCAGCAUGCUACGGUGAAUACGUUCCCGGGUCU